GGGGGCAACCCUGUCUGCAGCCAAGUGACAGAGGGAAUUUAUGGGAGCACUUAGGCUUCUAGGAAAAUAAGUAUGGAAGAGAGCGAGUAAAAGAUGCAAACACUUGUCUAUGAGUGGCUUAUUAAAAAGGUGCUGCUGAAUGUUUAUGAGCAGCCAUUGAUUUUUGUAGGAAAUCCCACAUCCUGCUUCCCAUAAGACAAAGGCUGUGCUCAGUCAAUGUUUUCUGACAGCACUUCCAGACUGAUGAAAUCCAACCUUUAUGGCUCUGAAAUAUUUAUGCCGAUGCUCAAUGUCUUUCCACUCUACAAAAGCAAAUCUCCUGAAUGCACUGUAGAAGAAAUACAAGAGGCAUGAGAGGAAUCCAGAACAAUACUUUGAAACUAAUGGUGUGACCAAAGCCUGCAGACAUGGCUGAGAUGAUUUCCUUCACUUCUGCUGACUUUAGGACAGGGCUGACUGUUGUGCGUAAUUCAUUACGGGGAAAGUUCACACUAAAAUGUCAAUUCAGUCAUCCUGAUUUUCUGUCUGUUUGCACUUUUCCAUUUAAUUACAAUGAAUGGACAACAUUUUCCCUUUUGACUUCCAUUGAAAAAUAUACACUGGUACAGCCAAGUUGGAUUUGGAAUUUGAAUUUGUCAUUUCAGUUUCACUA
ensembl:lncRNA